GAUGAAGAACGCAGCGAAAUGCGAUAAGUAAUGUGAAUUGCAGAAUUCAGUGAGUCAUCGAAUCUUUGAACGCACAUUGCGCCCUGUGGUAUUCCGCAGGGCAUGCCUGUUCGAGCGUCAUUUCAACCCUCAAGCUCUGCUUGGUGUUGGGCCCUGCCCGCUGCGGCCGGCCCUAAAGACAGUGGCGGUGCCGCCUGGCCCUGAGCGUAGUACAUCUCUCGCUCCAGUGCCCGGUGGUAGCCUGCCAGAACCCCAACUCUCGUGGUUGACCUCGGAUCAGGUAGGGAUACCCGCUGAACUUAAGCAUAUCAAUAAGCGGAGGA
rnacentral:misc_RNA from 1 species